GUAAACCCAAGGUUUCCAGGGCGAGGUUCGUCCGCCCUGGGUUAGUCGGGACCUAAGCUGAGGCCGAAAGGCGUAGGGGAUGGACAACAGGUUGAUAUUCCUGUACUACCGAUAACCGUUUGAGGGAAGGGAUGACACAGUAGGAUAAGCUAAGCACACUGUUGGUUAUGUGUGGUCAAGGAUGCAG
rnacentral:rRNA from 1 species